UACAUGUGGGGCAAGCGUUGUUCGGAAUUACUGGGCGUAAAGGGUGCGUAGGCGGCUUGUUAAGUCAGGGGUGAAAGUUUUCGGCCCAACCGGAAAAUUGCCUUUGAUACUGGCGAGCUGGAGUGCGUGAGGGGUGACCGGAACGAGUGGUGUAGCGGUGAAAUGCGUAGAUAUCACUCGGAAGGCCAACGGCGAAGGCAGGUCACUGGUGCGCAACUGACGCUGAGGCACGAAAGCGUGGGGAGCAAACAGG
rnacentral:rRNA from 1 species